rnacentral:rRNA from 1 species
AUUGAACGCUGGCGGCAGGCUUAACACAUGCGAGUCGAGCGGGGUGAUGGUGCUUGCACUAUCACUUAGCGGCGGACGGGUGAGUAAUGCUUAGGAAUCUGCCUAUUAGUGGGGGACAACAUCUCGAAAGGGAUGCUAAUACCGCAUACGCCCUACGGGAGAAAGCAGGGGAUCACUUGUGACCUUGCGCUAAUAGAUGAGCCUAAGUCGGAUUAGCUAGUUGGUGGGGUAAAGGCCUACCAAGGCGACGAUCUGUAGCGGGUCUGAGAGGAUGAUCCGCCACACUGGGACUGAGACACGGCCCAGACUCCUACGGGAGGCAGCAGUGGGGAAUAUUGGACAAUGGGGGGAACCCUGAUCCAGCCAUGCCGCGUGUGUGAAGAAGGCCUUAUGGUUGUAAAGCACUUUAAGCGAGGAGGAGGCUCUUUUGGUUAAUACCCAAGAUGAGUGGACGUUACUCGCAGAAUAAGCACCGGCUAACUCUGUGCCAGCCGCCGCGGUAA